rnacentral:rRNA from 1 species
AUUGAACGCUGGCGGCAGGCUUAACACAUGCAAGUCGAACGAGUGGUGGACGGGUGAGUAAUGCUUGGGAAUCUAGCUUAUGGAGGGGGAUAACUACGGGAAACUGUAGCUAAUACCGCGUACCAUAGGAUGAGCCCAAGUGGGAUUAGGUAGUUGGUGGGGAAAAGGCUCACCAAGCCGACGAUCCCUAGCUGGGCUGAGAGGAUGACCAGCCACACUGGAACUGAGACACGGUCCAGACUCCUACGGGAGGCAGCAGUGGGGAAUAUUGCACAAGUGGCUCGAGCCUGAUGCAGCCAUGCCUCUUGUAUGAAUAAGGCCUUCGGGUUUGAAAGUACUUUCUGCGGGGAGGCGUUACCCGCAGAAUAAGCACCGGCUAACUCCGUGCCAGCCGCCGCGGUAAUUC